UGCCAGACUCCUACGGGAGGCAGCAGUGGGGAAUAUUGGGCAAUGGGCGCAAGCCUGACCCAGCAACGCCGCGUGAAGGAAGAAGGCUUUCGGGUUGUAAACUUCUUUUCUGAGGGACGAAGCAAGUGACGGUACCUUAGGAAUAAGCCACGGCUAACUACGUGCCAGCAGCCGCGGUAAUACGUAGGUGGCAAGCGUUAUCCGGAUUUACUGGGUGUAAAGGGCGUGUAGGCGGGAAAGCAAGUCAGAUGUGAAAACCACGGGCUCAACCUGUGGCCUGCAUUUGAAACUGUAGUUCUUGAGUACUGGAGAGGCAGACGGAAUUCCUAGUGUAGCGGUGAAAUGCGUAGAUAUCAGGAGGAACACCGGCGGCGAAGGCGGCCUGCUGGACCGCGACUGACGUUGAGGCUCGAAAGCGUGGGGAGCGAACAGGAUUAGAUACCCUCGUA
rnacentral:rRNA from 1 species